GACGAACGCUGGCGGCGUGCUUAACACAUGCAAGUCGAACGGAAAGGCCCUGCUUUUGUGGGGUGCUCGAGUGGCGAACGGGUGAGUAACACGUGAGUAACCUGCCCUUGACUUUGGGAUAACUUCAGGAAACUGGGGCUAAUACCGGAUAGGAGCUCCUGCUGCAUGGGGGGGGUUGGAAAGUUUCGGCGGUUGGGGAUGGACUCGCGGCUUAUCAGCUUGUUGGUGGGGUAGUGGCUUACCAAGGCGUUGACGGGUAGCCGGCCUGAGAGGGUGACCGGCCACAUUGGGACUGAGAUACGGCCCAGACUCCUACGGGAGGCAGCAGUGGGGAAUAUUGCACAAUGGGCGGAAGCCUGAUGCAGCAACGCCGCGUGCGGGAUGACGGCCUUCGGGUUGUAAACCGCUUUCGCCUGUGACGAAGCGUGAGUGACGGUAAUGGGUAAAGAAGCACCGGCUAACUACGUG
rnacentral:rRNA from 1 species